GUGAGGUCGUUGGUGUGGUUGCAAGUACUGAUUUUACUGAGGAGAUCUUCUGUACUCAUACACACAUCCGGAGACAACUCUAUGAGAGGUCGCAAUACUUGUGAGAGGAAGUAGGACAGUCUAUAGUUGCUGGAGAUGUUUGCUCCGCAAACUGGUCUGGUUGGGGGCCCUGCGACAGGGUUUAUGUAGGGUUUGUGGUCUUUGCGUAACCCGUAUAGUGUAGGAACAUCAUUGUUGGAUGCCUGGAAAUUGUGUGCUGUCCUUUUUGUAGGUUGGAGUAUGUUGUACCACAUUCCCAUGUGUGCAUUGAGGAUUUUUUCCUCUUUU